rnacentral:rRNA from 1 species
ACACUAGUUGUUGGGGUGCUAGCCAUCUCAGUAAUGCAGCUAACGCAUUAAGUGUACCGCCUGGGGAGUACGGUCGCAAGAUUAAAACUCAAAGGAAUAGACGGGGACCCGCACAAGCGGUGGAGCAUGUGGUUUAAUUCGAAGAUACGCGAAGAACCUUACCUGGGCUUGAUAUCCUAAGAACCUUAUAGAGAUAUGAGGGUGCUAGCUUGCUAGAACUUAGAGACAGGUGCUGCAUGGCUGUCGUCAG